rnacentral:rRNA from 1 species
CUACGGGUCGCACCAGUGAGGAAUAUUGCACAAUGGGGGGAACCCUGAUGCAGCAACGCCGCGUGGAGGAUGACGCAUUUCGGUGUGUAAACUCCUUUUAUAUGUCAAGAAAAUGACGGUAGCAUAUGAAUAAGCACCGGCUAACUCCGUGCCAGCAGCCGCGGUAAUACGGAGGGUGCAAGCGUGUGCUCGGAAUCACUGGGCGUAAAGGACGCGUAGGCGGGUUGGAAAGUCAGGUGUGAAAUCCUACAGCUUAACUGUAGAACUGCACUUGAAACUUCUAAUCUAGAGUAUGGGAGGGGGAGAUGGAAUUAGUGGUGUAGGGGUAAAAUCCGUAGAUAUCACUAGGAAUACCUAAAGCGAAGGCGAUCUCCUGGAACAUUACUGACGCUAAGGCGUGAAAGCGUGGGGAGCAAACAGGAUUAGAUACCCUCGUAGUC